GAGUUUGAUCCUGUCUCAGGAUGAACGCUAGCGGCAGGCUUAGCACAUGCAAGUCGAGGGGUAACGGGGAAGCUUGCUUCCGCCGACGACCGGCGCACGGGUGCGUAACGCGUAUACAAUCUACCUUAUACUGGGGUAUAGCCUUUAGAAAUGAAGAUUAACCCCCCAUAGUCUCUUAGAGUGGCAUCACUUCUAGAGUAAAGGUUACGGUAUAAGAUGAGUAUGCGUUCUAUUAGUUUGUUGGUGUGGUAACGGCACACCAAGACUACGAUAGAUAGGGGCCCUGAGAGGGGGAUCCCCCACACUGGUACUGAGACACGGACCAGACUCCUACGGGAGGCAGCAGUGAGGAAUAUUGGACAAUGGAGGCAACUCUGAUCCAGCCAUGCCGCGUGCAGGAAGACUGCCCUAUGGGUUGUAAACUGCUUUUAUACAGGAAGAAACACCUCUACGUGUAGAGGCUUGACGGUACUGUAAGAAUAAGGAUCGGCUAACUCCGUGCCAGCAGCCGCGGUAAUACGGAGGAUCCAAGCGUUAUCCGGAAUCAUUGGGUUUAAAGGGUCCGUAGGUGGAUAAUUAAGUCAGAGGUGAAAUCUUGCAGCUCAACUGUAAAAUUGCCUUUGAAACUGGUUAUCUUGAGUUAUUAUGAAGUAGUUAGAAUAUGUAGUGUAGCGGUGAAAUGCAUAGAUAUUACAUAGAAUACCGAUUGCGAAGGCAGAUCACUAACAAUAUAUUGACGCUGAUGGACGAAAGCGUAGGUAGCGAACAGGAUUAGAUACCCUGGUAGUCUACGCCGUAAACGAUGGAUACUAGUUGUUUGGUUUUCGGACUGAGUGACUAAGCGAAAGUGAUAAGUAUCCCACCUGGGGAGUACGUUCGCAAGAAUGAAACUCAAAGGAAUUGACGGGGGCCCGCACAAGCGGUGGAGCAUGUGGUUUAAUUCGAUAAUACGCGAGGAACCUUACCAGGGCUUAAAUGUAGAUUGACCGGCUUAGAAAUAGGCUUUCUCUUCGGAGCAAAUUACAAGGUGCUGCAUGGUUGUCGUCAGCUCGUGCCGUGAGGUGUUAGGUUAAGUCCUGCAACGAGCGCAACCCCUAUUCUUAGUUGCCAGCGGUUCGGCCGGGGACUCUAAGAAGAAUGCCAGCGCAAGCUGAGAGGAAGGUGGGGAUGACGUCAAAUCAUCACGGCCCUUACGUCCUGGGCUACACACGUGCUACAAUGGUAGAGACAGAGGGCAGCCACCUGGUGACAGGGAGCGAAUCCUUAAACUCUAUCUCAGUUCGGAUCGAAGUCUGCAACUCGACUUCGUGAAGCUGGAAUCGCUAGUAAUCGCGCAUCAGCCAUGGCGCGGUGAAUACGUUCCCGGGCCUUGUACACACCGCCCGUCAAGCCAUGGAAGCUGGGGGCACCUGAAGUCGGUAACCGUAAGGAGCCGCCUAGGGUGAAACUGGUAACUAGGGCUAAGUCGUAACAAGGUAACC
rnacentral:rRNA from 1 species